rnacentral:lncRNA from 1 species
UUAAAAACAAUUACUUUUGUUAAUCAUGGAGACUUUCUUUAUUCAGUCACUCAGCACUGACUUUACCAAAUGGCCAAGAAGUCAAGGAAUUAUUUGUCACACAGAAGCAAGUGUACUGGGAUCACUUCAAGAAUGCCAAAGGAGUGACUGUAAUAUUGUCCUGAGUUCUUCAAUGUCAUGGAGUUCCCUGGAUCUCUGAACUUAGAUCCGCUGAGGUCAACGCUGGUAUCUCGAUAUUAAGGAUGGAGAAACUGAGCCAGAGUGAUAAAAAUGAUUUAGCCAAUAUCAACGUAGUGAUUAUUUGAAAACAGAGCCAGGAAUGGCUUCAUGUUGCUCUCUCCUGCUGACAUAUUCAUUGAAAAUGAUUUAGCAGGGCAUGGUUGGACUCAACCCUAGAGGUGAGGCCUUUGGUAACAAAAUCACAAAACUGAAGAAUAGGGAAG